rfam:Oryctes borbonicus contig942, whole genome shotgun sequence.
GUAACGGUUCUUUUCAGAACCACAAUUUAUCUCAGAAAGAAAACG